ACGGAAGGCAGCAGUGGGGAAUAUUGGACAAUGGGGGAAACCCUGAUCCAGCGACGCCGCGUGAGUGAAGAAGUAUUUCGGUAUGUAAAGCUCUAUCAGCAAGGAAGAAAAUGACGGUACUUGACUAAGAAGCUCCGGCUAAAUACGUGCCAGCAGCCGCGGUAAUACGUAUGGAGCAAGCGUUAUCCGGAUUUACUGGGUGUAAGGGAGCGUAGACGGCAAGGCAAGUCUGAAGUGAAAUCCCGGGGCUCAACCCCGGAACUGCUUUGGAAACUGUUUAGCUAGAGUGCAGGAGAGGUAAGCGGAAUUCCUAGUGUAGCGGUGAAAUGCGUAGAUAUUAGGAGGAGCACCAGUGGCGAAGGCGGCUUACUGGACGAUAACUGACGCUGAGGCUCGAAAGCGUGGGGAGCAAACAGGAUUAGAUACCCUGGUA
rnacentral:rRNA from 1 species